GCAUAUCAAUAAGCGGAGGAAAAGAAACUAACAAGGAUUCCCCUAGUAGCGGCGAGCGAAGCGGGAAAAGCUCAAAUUUGUAAUCUGGCGUCUACGACGUCCGAGUUGUAAUCUCGAGAAGUGUUUUCCGUGAUAGACCGCAUACAAGUCUCUUGGAACAGAGCGUCAUAGUGGUGAGAACCCAGUACACGAUGCGGAUGCCUAUUACUUUGUGAUACACUUUCGAAGAGUCGAGUUGUUUGGGAAUGCAGCUCAAAUUGGGUGGUAAAUUCCAUCUAAAGCUAAAUAUUGGCGAGAGACCGAUAGCGAACAAGUACCGUGAGGGAAAGAUGAAAAGCACUUUGGAAAGAGAGUUAACAGUACGUGAAAUUGUUGGAAGGGAAACACAUGCAGCCAGACUUGCUAUUCGGGGCAACUCGAUUGGCAGGCCCGCAUCAGUUUUUCGGGGCGGAAAAGCAUAGAGAGAAGGUAGCAAUUUCGGUUGUGUUAUAGCUCUUUAUUGGAUUCGCCCUGGGGGACUGAGGAACGCAGCGUGCUUUUAGCAUAAGCUUCGGCUUAUCCACGCUUAGGAUGCGGGUGUAAUGGCUGUAUAUGACCCGUCUUGAAACACGGACC
rnacentral:rRNA from 1 species